UGAGGAACAUGACCUUCGGCGGGGGAGUAGCCGGCCCAACGGCCGGGUAAUACCGCGUACGACCACAUGGGGACAUCCCUGAGUGGUGAAAGCAGCAAUGCGCCGAUGGAGUGCCUCGCGGCCUAUCAGCUAGUUGGUGAGGUAACGGCUCACCAAGGCGACGACGGGUANCUGGUCUGAGAGGAUGGCCAGCCACAUUGGGACUGAGACACCGGCCCAGACCUCUACCGGGGAGG
rnacentral:rRNA from 1 species